rnacentral:rRNA from 1 species
AGUGAACGCUGGCGGUAGGCCUAACACAUGCAAGUCGAACGGCAGCACAGUAAGAGCUUGCUCUUACGGGUGGCGAGUGGCGGGCGGGUGAGGAAUACAUCGGAAUCUACUUUUUCGUGGAGGAUAACGUAGGGAAACUUACGCUAAUACCGCAUACGACCUACGGGUGAGAGCAGGGGAUCUUCGCACCUUGCGCGAUUGAAUGAGCCGAUGUCGGAUUAGCUAGUUGGCGGGGUAAAGGCCCACCAAGGCGACGAUCCGUAGCUGGUCUGAGAGGAUGAUCAGCCACACUGGAACUGAGACACGGUCCAGACUCCUACGGGAGGCAGCAGUGGGGAAUAUUGGACAAUGGGCGCAAGCCUGAUCCAGCCAUACCGCGUGGGUGAAGAAGGCCUUCGGGUUGUAAAGCCCUUUUGUUGGGAAAGAAAAGCAGCAGGUUAAUACGCCGCUGUUCUGACGGUACCCAAAGAAUAAGCACCGGCUAACUUCGUG